GUCUUAAUAUUGAAGGCCUGUGUUCCUUCCACUGUGGCAUUGUACGAAGAAAUGUGCGGGUUUUUUUUUUUUUUUAAUUUGCUUUUUGUGUUUCUUUUUUUUUAGAAAAGAUUCCGAAAAAUGAGGGAAACAGGAAGCCCAGAGGUGCCCCUGUAGUUUGGCGAAGGCCUUAGGAGGUCACUUGGAAAUGCCGCUGGCUGAAAUGUUGGUCUUCAGCGAUGUUCAAAGCCUGUGUAUUUCCGCUAGACUCUGGCUUCAGGUCGGUUCCCCCAAAAGGCUCCGAAGCGACCUGAACCAAACAGAAAUGUUGGUCUUCAGCGAUGUUCAAAGCCUGUGUAUUUCCGCUAGACUCUGGCUUCAGGUCGGUUCCCCCAAAAGGCUCCGAAGCGACCUGAACCAAACAGUCUUUCUCGGAUUGAGGCAGGAAACCCUGGCUUCCCUGGACUUGUGCAGGGUGGAGUUCGGAGAGGUGUCCGGGCAUCGGGUUCUUAUCAAGAGGGGACCGGGAAAUCGGGGUCCUUCGGAAUGUGGAACCACCCACGAGGCCACGUCUGGAAUGUCGUCGUGAGACCGGCCUCAUCC
ensembl:lncRNA